rnacentral:sRNA from 1 species
CUGUCAGGAACUGACUGCGUCAUCGAUUUGCUUCUCGGUGCCCUGCUCCACGGCUGCUGCUCCCACCUCACCUACCUCAACCUGGCUCGCAACAGCUGCUCCCACAGGUGGGAGAGGAGGGGGAAGGGAGGACAGGGCAAGACAUGGCCAACCCCCUCCCUCGCUGACCCCAGGGGUCUCUCCACAGGAAGGGUCGAGAGGCCCCGCCAGCUUUCAAGCAGUUCUUCAGCAGCGCCUACACACUGAGCCACGUCAACCUGUCGGCCACAAAGCUGCCCCUGGAGGCCCUCAGGGCGCUGCUUCAGGGCCUCUCCCUCAACAGUCACCUCAGUGACCUGCACCUGGAUCUCAGCAGCUGUGAGCUCCGCUCAGCGGGAGCCCAAGCCUUGCAGGAGCAGCUGGGAGCUGUCACCUGUGUAGGGAGCCUGGAUCUGUCAGACAAUGGGUUCGACUCGGACCUCCUGACACUGGUGCCUGCACUUGGCAAGAACAAGUCCCUCAAGCACCUGUUUUUGGGCAAGAACUUCAAUGUCAAGGCCAAGACCCUGGAGGAGAUCCUCCACAAGCUGGUGCAGCUGAUCCAGGAAGAGGACUGUGUGAGUGCCUGGGCCUGGGAGGGGACCUGCAGUCGGAGGAGGCUGUGGGGACUGGGCCCAACACCCCCUUGCCCACACAGUCCCUGCAGUCACUGUCGGUGGCAGACUCCCGGCUGAAGCUUCGCACCAGCAUCCUCAUCAAUGCCCUGGGCAGCAACACCUGCCUGGCCAAGGUGGAUCUGAGCGGCAAUGGCAUGGAGGACAUCGGGGCCAAGAUGCUGUCUAAGGCCCUGCAGAUAAACUCCUCCCUCAGAACUAUCCUAUGGGAUCGGAACAAUACAUCUGCCCUGGGCUUCCUGGACAUCGCAAGGGCCCUGGAGAGCAACCACACGCUGCGCUUCAUGUCCUUCCCCGUGAGCGACAUCUCCCAAGCCUAUCGCAGCGCCCCUGAGCGCACCGAGGACGUCUGGCAGAAGAUCCAAUGGUGCUUAGUGAGGAACAACCACUCCCAGACGUGCCCCCAGGAGCAGGCCUUCAGGUUGCAGCAGGGCCUGGUGACCAGCAGCGCCGAGCAAAUGCUGCAGCGGCUGUGUGGACGAGUGCAGGAGGAGGUGCGGGCCCUGAGACUGUGCCCCCUGGAGCCCGUGCAGGAUGAGCUACUCUACGCUCGGGACCUCAUCAAAGAUGCCAAGAACUCCCGGGCGGUGAGCCCUCCACAGGCUACCCUUCCCCUGAAGUCUGGAGAACCCAAGAAGGCCGACCAUGCUAAGCCAUGACAGCCCUGCCCUGUGCAUCUGCCUUCCUAGCUCAGGGACCCCAGAGACCUAGCAAGUCCUGGUUCUGGCCUGCUAAUCAUAACCCCUUCCUUCUCCAGCUGUUUCCCAGCCUCUAUGAGCUGGGCCACGUGCUGGCCAAUGACGGGCCUGUGCGGCAGAGGCUGGAAUCAGUAGCAAGUGAGGUGUCCAAAGCUGUGGACAAGGAGCUGCAGGCAAGUCCUGGAGGAGGGAGGAAUCCAUGGUGGGAACCCAGUGUUGACUGAGGCCCUAAGCCCAGAGCUAAAGUCAGAGCUGGGAGACUUCUGGAGGGCCAGGAGGACAUGCAGAGUUGAGACCACCCACACUCCCACUGUACCAAGGCAUUGCUGCAAUAUCAGGCUUGGAUUUUUUUCUGCUAGCUUUGAUGUUGGUCCCUGAACUCUGACCUCCCCGCUCUGGAUUUGGAUCCUUGGACUGACUGCCCCUGUCUGUAUGGUAGGGUGGAAGGAGCACUGACCAGAAAGUGGGGAAGCCUUAGUGUCCAAGGCUCUGCCACUAACAGUUUUGUGACUUAGGCAGGUCCCUCAGUCUCAGCAGGAGGGGCUGGAAUAGAUAAAGUCUCUUCUGCUGUGGUGCCAGCCCUGAUCCUGUCCCCCUUGGGCCUCUGGCCUCCCUUUCCCCCAUACUAGGUGAUCCUGGAGUCCAUGGUCAGCCUGACACAGGAGUUAUGCCCUGUGGCCAUGCGGGUGGCCGAGGGACACAACAAGAUGCUGAGCAAUGUGGCGGAGCGUGUCACUGUGCCCCGGAACUUCAUCCGAGGGGCACUGCUGGAGCAAGCAGGACAAGACAUUCAGAACAAGCUGGAUGAAGUGAAGCUCUCAGUCGUCACCUACCUAACCAACUCCAUAGUGGAUGAGAUCCUGCAAGAGCUCUACCAUUCCCACAAGAGCCUGGCCCGGCACCUGACCCAGCUAAGGACGCUGUCAGAUCCACCAGGGUGCCCAGGCCAAGGGCAGGAUCUGUCCUCCCGGGGCCGAGGCCGGAACCAUGACCAUGAGGAGACCACAGAUGAUGAACUUGGGACCAACAUUGACACCAUGGCCAUCAAAAAGCAGAAACGCUGCCGCAAGAUCCGGCCGGUGUCUGCCUUCAUCAGCGGGAGCCCUCAGGACAUGGAAAGCCAACUGGGGAAUCUGGGGAUCCCCCCUGGCUGGUUCUCAGGACUUGGGGGCAGCCAGCCCACAGCUAGUGGCUCCUGGGAAGGUCUAUCUGAGCUGCCCACUCAUGGUUACAAACUAAGGCAUCAAACACAAGGGAGGCCCCGCCCCCCCAGGACCACACCUCCAGGACCUGGUCGACCCAGUAUGCCAGCACCUGGGACUCGUCAGGAGAAUGGGAUGGCCACCCGCCUGGAUGAAGGGCUGGAGGACUUCUUCAGCCGAAGGGUCAUGGAGGAAAGUUCUAGCUACCCCCGGACUCUGAGGACCGUGCGGCCAGGACUCUCGGAGGCACCGCUGCCUCCACUCCAGAAGAAGAGGCGCCGGGGCCUGUUCCACUUUCGCCGGCCCCGGAGCUUCAAGGGGGACAGGGGGCCAGGGUCCCCCACCACUGGACUCCUCCUCCCUCCACCCCCACCCCCUCCCCCGACUCAGGAGAGCCCCCCUAGCCCAGACCCCCCAAGCCUCGGCAAUAACUCCUCUCCCUGCUGGAGCCCAGAGGAGGAGAGCAGCCUCCUCCCUGGAUUUGGUGGGGGCCGGGGACCUUCCUUCCGCAGGAAGAUGGUAAGUGAGGCAGGGGGUGCUGUGUCUUCCCCUUUUCCUGCCCCACACUUAACCCAGUCUCCUACCCCACCCCAAGCUUAAUGGGAGAAUGCUAGGACCCAGGGUUCUUGGGAACAUUGGUCAUUUCAAUUCUCCUCUCCUUGAGAGUGGACUAAGACCCAGUGGCCAAGAGCAUGCUGGGAGUGCUAUAUGCGAAUGCAGGCGUUGGAAGGACUCUUCAGAGGGUCUCUGCAGGGCUUCCCCGUGGCUAGGGACUCAGUGAGGCAGGGGUCCUCCUGACAACUCCCUCACAGCCUGGGGAGCCCCCUUCGACUGGGAACUGCUAAUAAAUAAGAGACCUUGUUCUAGGGCACUGAGGGGUCAGAGCCAGGGGAGGGGGGCCCAGCCCCUGGGACAGCACAGCAGCCAAGGGUUCACGGUGUUGCCCUUCCCGGGUUGGAAAGAGCCAAGGGUUGGAGCUUCGAUGGGAAACGAGAGGGCCCAGGCCCAGACCAGGAGGGCAGCACCCAGGCCUGGCAGAAACGGCGCUCUUCAGACGACGCAGGGCCUGGAUCCUGGAAGCCCCUACCACCGCCCCAAAGCACCAAACCAAGCUUCAGCGCCAUGCGCAGAGCAGAGGCCACAUGGCACAUAGCUGAAGAGAGUGCCCCCAACCACAGCUGCCAGAGUCCCAGCCCAGCCUCCCAAGAUGGGGAAGAGGAGAAGGAGGGGACCCUCUUCCCAGAGAGGACACUUCCAGCUAGGAAUGCCAAGCUACAGGACCCUGCUCUAGCUCCACGGCCUCCCAAGCCAGUGGCUGUGCCCAGGGGCCGCCGGCCUCCCCAGGAGCCAGGGGUCAGGGAGGAGGCUGAGGCUGGAGAUGCAGCUCCAGGAGUCAACAAACCCCGGCUGAGGCUGAGCUCACAGCAAGACCAAGAGGAGCCCGAAGUCCAAGGGCCCCCUGAUCCAGGCCGGCGGACUGCCCCCCUGAAGCCCAAGAGGACACGGCGGGCACAGUCCUGUGACAAGCUGGAACCUGAUAGAAGACGGCCUCCUGACCCCACAGGAACCAGUGAGCCAGGAACAGACUGACAACUGCCACAACACCCUCCUCAGCCCUCGACAUGUGCCUCGCAAGGACUCAGACCCCUAUCCACCCCCAGUCCCCAGGGCCCCCUGCCAGCCCCUGUCCUACAGGGGCAAGACGGCAGGACCAGGCAUGGGGGAGCUGGAGGCAGGGACUAGAACAGAGGGAGCCACCUGGAGAGACGGAGGCUGUCAAUGCCUGCCUCGAUACCUCUCUCUGCAGAGAGCUUCUGGGUGGGGGCUCAUCUCCUCCCCCAGGAGGGUGGAUCUCUGUCCCUCUAUCCCCAGGGACUCUCUCCCCUCUUGUAUAGAAUAAAAAAACAAAAUC